rnacentral:rRNA from 1 species
UACGGAGGAUGCAAGCGUUAUCCGGAAUGAUUGGGCGUAAAGCGUCUGUAGGUGGCUUUUUAAGUCCGCCGUCAAAUCCCAGGGCUCAACCCUGGAAAGCCGGUGGAUACUGUCGGGCUGGAGUCCGGAAGAGGCGAGUGGAAUUCCUGGUGUAGCGGUGAAAUGCGUAGAUAUCUGGAGGAACACCGGUGGCGAAGGCGGCAUCCUGGACCAAUACUGACACUGAGGAGCGAAAGCCAGGGGAGCAAACGGG